UCUUCAUCUCUCCGUUACAGUCCCGCUCCGAAAAUUCAGGGAUCGGUGGUGAGGGAAGCCGGUGCAAGUCCGGCGCGGGCCCGCCACUGUUACCGAGAGAAGCUCGCGGCACGCGCGUGUCGCAGCCACUGGCCGAGAGGCCGGGAAGGCGCCGCGAGAAGGCUCGGAAGCCAGGAGACCUUCUCCGAUCCGUCACAGGCA
rnacentral:ncRNA from 2 species